GACGAACGCUGGCGGCGUGCUUAACACAUGCAAGUCGAACGGAAAGGCCCUGCUUGCAGGGUACUCGAGUGGCGAACGGGUGAGUAACACGUGGGUGAUCUGCCCUGCACUUCGGGAUAAGCCUGGGAAACUGGGUCUAAUACCGGAUAGGAGCCAUUUUUAGUGUGAUGGUUGGAAAGUUUUUUCGGUGUGGGCUGAGCUCGCGGCCUAUCAGCUUGUUGGUGGGGUAAUGGCCUACCAAGGCGGCGACGGGUAGCCGGCCUGAGAGGGUGGACGGCCACAUUGGGACUGAGAGACGGCCCAGACUCCUACGGGAGGCAGCAGUGGGGAAUAUUGCACAAUGGGCGCAAGCCUGAUGCAGCGACGCCGCGUGGGGGAUGACGGCCUUCGGGUGGUAAACUCAUUUCGCUAGGGACGAAGCUUUUUGUGACGGUACCUAGAUAAGAAGCACCGGCUAACUACGUG
rnacentral:rRNA from 1 species